rnacentral:tRNA from 1 species
GGGGCUGUAGCUCAGUGGCAGAGCGCUUGCCUAGCAUGCAUGAGGCACUGGGCUUGAUCCUCAGCAACCACA